rnacentral:rRNA from 1 species
ACUCAAAUGAAUAGACGGGGGCCCGCACAAGCAGCGGAGCAUGUGGCUUAAUUCGACGCAACGCGAAGAACCUUACCAAGGCUUGACAUAUACCGGAAACGUGCAGAGAUGUACGCCCCCUUGUGGUCGGUAUACAGGUGGUGCAUGGUUGUCGUCAGCUCGUGUCGUGAGAUGUUGGGUUAAGUCCCGCAACGAGCGCAACCCUCGUUCUGUGUUGCCAGCGGGUUAUGCCGGGGACUCACAGGAGACUGCCGGGGUCAACUCGGAGGAAGGUGGGGACGACGUCAAAUCAUCAUGCCCCUUAUGUCUUGGGCUGCACACGUGCUACAAUGGCCGGUACAAUGAGCUGCGAUACCGCGAGGUGGAGCGAAUCUCAAAAAGCCGGUCUCAGUUCGGAUUGGGGUCUGCAACUCGACCCCAUGAAGUCGGAGUUGCUAGUAAUCGCAGAUCAGCAUUGCUGCGGUGAAUACGUUCCCGGGCCUUGUACACACCGCCCGU